rnacentral:lncRNA from 1 species
ACUUGGUUUUAUAUGUGAAUAUUUUUGGCAGGAGAGAAAACUAGAAUGUACAUAAGCAUUUUUUUGAUUUUUAUGGUAGCAGCAAAGAACAUUGUAAUGUCACCUGAAUUCACCACCAGAAUGAGCAACAGAUUUGGAAUUACCAGUAUGGUUCAUGACAGCUUUUUGAAGAAACCUUUUUACAAGUUUUGUGAAGAAACCUUCAUAGGAAGCAGGCCACAUAUGAAGACCAGUGUUGUCUUGAGUGGGAGGAAUGUGUGAAUGUGUGUUUGGUAAACAAGAAUUUCAUAGUUCUCUUGGAAAUACCUGGAACAGAUCUAACUUCCACUAUUGGCCCAUCACAGACCACCAUGACACCCUCUUCAUCAAUAACUACUUCUUACAUAACUCUUGCAGUCUUCCAGAGGACAGUUGCUCCUAUGGGAAUAAAUGAAUUAACAUUGCAUUUAUAAAAACA